rnacentral:tRNA from 1 species
GGAGAGCUCAGUACGGUAGAGCGACGGCUUCGUAAGCCGUAAGUCCUGGGAUCGAAGCCCAGCCGGGGCUCCA